CCAGCUCUGCUCUGUGGCAACUGGUUGUCACUCACUGUCCUCCGGAACCCAGGCUAGCUCCAAGAUGGUCCAGGGGCAAUGGCAAAAGUGGGGAACCGACCCAAUUAGGGUAUUCCCUGAGCCAGAACCUCUGAGCCCAAUGCCCAUCACUGGGGACCCCUGGAGGUGCAACGAGGAUGGGAUAAAGGAGGCAGGAGAGGCUCUCUUGCUCUGUGAAGUCCAGCAGGUUUAUUGGGAAGGACAAGGGUGGGGUCCACGGGAGAGGAGAGCAGAAGGGAACACAGGCAAGCAGAGCCUCGGGUACAACUGUGCAAAGAUUACUCAGCCCAGCAUCCUCGCAGGCCUAGGAUGCACUGAGACUGCACCCUCUGUUAUCAUUUCCCAGAUCUCAUGUCUUGGUUUCCUUUCCUGGGGGAAACCUUAUGGUAAAAAUUCAUCAUCUGGAGUAGGGGUGUAAUAAAUGUGUUCUAAGAAAUGACCAGAUGAACUGUGAAACUCAGUGCUACCUGGUGCUGAACACUGCUCUUCGUGGCUCGCACAGAAUCCUUGAGUGGUUUGUGUACUGCAGCUGCCUUGGCCAAAGUGUCUCUGCUUCCCAAGGAGACAAUUUGGGCUACCCCAACAGCCCCAGCCCCAGGUAACCAGCUGUACCCCACCCUAACCUCAGACAAACACACAGAACUCAGUAGCUGGCACACAUCUGUAACAUUCCUGCUGAAUGCCUGGGCUUGCAGGUUCUGACUCAACACAGCAACUCCUUUCUCACCAGCUGCCUGGGAGUAGUUGGUAUUUACAGUCCUACAGGGCAAAAAAAAAAAAAAAAAAAAAAAAAUUAGAUUGAUGUGCUCGUGUCAGCCUUGCCCUCACUGAAGAUGGGCUGCAAAUGCUACUGAGGCAAUGGUGAAGCAAUCUGAAGAGAAUCUGUCUAUUGCAAUUUAAAGUUUGUUUGUUUUCCUUUAGGAAUCCCAAAGAAAGCAAGAGGCACUGUAUAUAACACAGGUGACAAAAUCCUAAAAUAUUAGUCUCUUAAAUUAUUUUAUGAAUUUCUCUACAAAUCUUCAUGCCUUCCCUCUCAGCAUGGCCUGAAGAGGGUGGGGAGUGCUGCUACCCUUUUACAAAUAGGUUGUUGGAGGCACAGAGGAGCUGAACUGCUUCUUGUCAGACAUAAAGUCUGCUCCAGAGCAUGGAGACUUGGCUUUGAUUUGCAAACCCCAGCCCUCUGCACUAACAAGGGCACAAUAUUUCCUUGUUCUUCUCCCUUCUGAAAGGGCCACUGAAGGUUUGGCUAAGAGCCCUUUUUAAUAAAUGGGGCAAAAAGAGAAAAGAGAAUGAACACUUUGGCUUAUCAAGUGUUGUUUGCUG
rnacentral:lncRNA from 1 species